rnacentral:rRNA from 1 species
GGGGGGGGGGGGGGGGGGGGGGGGGGGGGGGGGGGGGGGGGGGGGGGGGGGGGGGGGGGGGGGAGGGCGGGGGGCGGGGGCGGGGCGGGGGUGGGACGUGGCGUUGUCGGGGGGAUAGCCUUUCGGGAGGGAGGUGAAUACCCCAUCAUGUAUUGAGUGGCAUCAUUUGAUAUUGAAAACUCCGGUGGAUAGAGGUGGGCACGCGCAAGAUUAGAUAGUUGGUGAGGUAACGGCUCACCAAGUCAAUGAUCUUUAGGGGGCCUGAGAGGGUGAUCCCCCACACUGGUACUGAGACACGGACCAGACGCCUACGGGAGGCAGCAGUGAGGAAUAUUGAACAAUGGGUUAGCGCCUGAUCCAGCCAUCCCGCGUGAAGGACGACGGCCCUAUGGGUUGUAAACUUCUUUUGUAUAGGGAUAAACCUACUCUCGUGAGAGUAGCUGAAGGUACUAUACGAAUAAGCACCGGCUAACUCCGUG